AGUAAAACAGUACGUGAAAUUGUUGAAAGGGAAACGAUUGAAGUCAGUCAUGCCGGCGUUGGAUUCAGCUUGCUUCGCGGAGCUUGCGCAUUUCCUCGCAUGGCAGGUCAGCGUCAGUUUUGCGCGGCGUGAAAAGGCUCGGGUAAGGUAGCUCUCUUCGGGGAGUGUUAUAGACCUGGGCAAAUGCGCAGCGCGGGACUGAGGAUUGCAGCGGACACCUCUUCGGAGGCGCGGCGACCGAACCCUGCUCGGCCACCCUCGUUCGAUAGCGUGCUAGCGGACGCGGGAGCGGCAGUGCACCGGAACAGGCAAGCCAGCGGUUCGCUUAGGAUGCUGACGUAAUGGCUUUAAA
rnacentral:misc_RNA from 1 species